rnacentral:pre_miRNA from 1 species
AUAGGAAUCACCUGGUGAUCUUGUUAAAAUGCAGAUUCUGACUCAGUGUGUCUGGAACGGGGCCUGAGACGUUGCCAUUCUAUCAAGCUCCCAGGUGAUGCCGAU